rnacentral:rRNA from 1 species
CAGCAGCCGCGGUAAUACGUAGGAUUCAAACGUUAUCCGGAUUUAUUGGGCGUAAAGCGCGUGCAGGCGGUUUGGUAAGUUGGAUGUGAAAUCUCCGGGCUCAACCCGGAGAGGUCGUUCAAAACUACCAGACUAGAGGGCGAUAGAGGGAGGUGGAAUUCUGGGUGUAGUGGUGAAGUGCGUAGAUAUCCAGAGGAACACCAGUGGCGAAGGCGGCCUCCUGGGUCGCUCCUGACGCUAAGACGCGAAAGCUAGGGUAGCAAACGGGAUUAGAAACCCCGGUAGUCCUAGCUGUAAACGAUGUAGACUUGGUGUCGGUGGUGUAAAAGCCAUCGGUGCCGUAGCUAACGCGAUAAGUCUACCGCCUGGGGAUUACGGUCGCAAGACUAAAACUCAAAGGAAUUGACGGGACCCCGCACAAGCAGCGGAGCGUGUGGUUUAAUUCGAUGUUACGCGAAGAACCUUACCUGGGUUUGACAUAUUGGUGGUAGGAAUCCGAAAGGUGACCGACCCUUCGGGGAGCCAUUACAGGUGAUGCAUGGCUGUCGUCAGCUCGUGCCGUGAGGUGUCCGGUUAAUUCCGGUAACGAACGCCACCCUUGCUGUAUGUUACAAGUGUCAUACGGGACUGCCGGUAUAAAGCCGGAGGAAGGUGGGGACGACGUCAAGUCAGCAUGGCCUUUAUAUCCAGGGCUACACACACGCUACAAUGGUCGGUACAAUAGGUUGCAAAGUCGCAAGGCGGAGCCAAUCCAUAAAACCG